rnacentral:rRNA from 1 species
UAAGGAAUAUUGGACAAUGGAGGCAACUCUGAUCCAGCCAUGCCGCGUGAAGGAAUAAGGCCCUAUGGGUUGUAAACUUCUUUUAGACGGGACAAAACCCCUUUACGUGUAAAGGGUUGAUGGUACUGUCAGAAUAAGCAUCGGCUAACUUCGUGCCAGCAGCCGCGGUAAUACGAAGGAUGCAAGCGUUAUCCGGAAUUAUUGGGUUUAAAGGGUGCGUAGGCGGACUAAUAAGUCAGUGGUGAAAGCCUGCAGCUUAACUGCAGAAUUGCCAUUGAUACUGUUAGUCUUGAGUACAGUUGAGGNAGGCGGAAUGUGUCAUGUAGCGGUGAAAUGCUUAGAUAUGACACAGAACACCGAUUGCGAAGGCAGCUUGCUAAGCUGUAACUGACGCUGAGGCACGAAAGCGUGGGGAGCAAACAG